rnacentral:lncRNA from 10 species
AGCCACCGCGCCCGGCCAGGCAUCAGUAUUUUAAAAAAGCUCUCCAAGUAAUUCCAACGUGCAGUGAGGGUUGAGAACCACUGUUCUAGAGCAGAAGGUGGCAAACUUUCUCUGCAAAGGGCCGGGUGGUAAAUAUUUCAGGCUUUGUGAGCCACAUGGUCUCCAUCGUGCAGAGUGAUCAGAGUAAAUGGUUAUCUCGAAUUUAUUGCUGGGCCAUAGUUUACUGUUGUUCCCUCUGGUUUUCUAGGAGCCAAGAGAUGAUGGCCAGGUGGGAAAACAUUGGGAAAGUGGGGGAAAAUGAAGUGGGACCCCUGGGAACAAAGGAAAGAAGAGUCCUUAGUAUUCACCAGCUCCAACAGGAAAACAGCUCUUCCUGGCUAAUUAUGAUGACAGAAUAAAGUUCAGGACAAGGGGCACUGCCUGUGAGCCAAAGAAACCGAGUCUAUGUAUUGGCCAGCAAGGACCAAACAUCCUAUGUGCAACUUUCCAGGGAGGAAUAUAAGAGGCAUUUUUUUUUUUUUUUUUUCUUGAGAGGCUGGGAAGCAGACAGGAGGAGUGACUUGGCUGUGAAAAGUGCUAAAACAGAUAAAAGACUAUACUGACAGGCAAAUGGAGCCUGUUAUGACACUGACAUUGAAGGUGAAAGGAGAAUCCAGUUCACAUUAGCCAGGGUCUCAGAGACCAGGUUUUGAGGCAGUAUUUCUGCCUCUUGAGGACAGGGCAGAGCAGGUGGGUAAAAAGCAAAGAGACCAGGGAAGGGGGACUAAAAGUAAGGGAAACAGCAUCUGAGGAAAGGCUCCUCUGACUGGAUUUUCACAAACAUUAUUUAUUAACCUCACUAAACAAGGAUAAUGGGACAAAACAGGGGCAAGCUGGAAAACCAGCAGGGGUAUUUGGCAGCCAGAAAUAAAAGGGAGUGGUCCAGGUGCCCAAGAUUAUCAUUCAAAAGGAGUAACAUUCCAUUGAUAUUAGGUUUGUGAAAUUGAAUAAUGAAGUGGCAAUAACAUAGUACGUUAAAAAAUAACAAACUAGGCACUGUGGCACAUGCCUGUAAUCCUAGCACUUUGGGAGGUGGGAGGAUUGCUUGAGCCCAGGAAUUUAAGACCAGACUGUAGAGACCUCCAUCUCUACAAAAAAAUAAAAAAAAUUAGCCAGGCAUGAUGGGACACGUGUGGAGUCCAGGUUACUUGGGAGGCUGAGGCAGGAGGAUUGCUUGAGCCCAGGAGGUGGGAGCCGCAGUGAGCUGAGAUUGCACCACUGCACUCUAGUCAAGUGAGACCCUGGCUCAAAAAAAAAAAAAAAGUAAGUAGGUAAAUAAAUAAAUAAGCAAGCCAAGAAAGGGCCUUGUUUUUUUCUCAAGUUGAUAGGCAACUGACAGUCUAUGGGAGGGCUUUUCCCUUGAGAUCUCCCUCUACUGCUUUAGGAUAGGCACAAAAAUGGGAGAAAUGACAGAAGAGGUGCUUUUAAAGGGGGCCAUUCCUGUUGCCCAAGGAAUAGGAAUGGGUAGGGUUCCUACCAAAACAGACAAAUCCUGUUGGCAGAGAGAUUGUAUUUGUAGGCUUUGGCUCUGAUAAAAAAAUAAAAUAAAAAAUCUCCACCAGGCAUCAUUGGUUCUUUGGCUUCCUAUUCUCCACAGUAUAUCUCAAAACUGGAUACAGAGGGCCUGGGGUAGUUUUCGGCUGCUCCUGUCAACAGUGCCCUUCAGACCUCAGCUGGGCCUUUAAGGGCAUGAACAAGUUGGGAUCCUCCUGCUAGUUCCCUUUUAAUUUUCACCUCUGAGCAUGGCACAAGGCCUGGAAAGCACUCACAGGAGUUUCCCUCAAAUGCCCUUGCAAACCUUGCAAAAUGAUGACCCAUUCGCCAUCAUAUGGCACUACAGGGAGGUGGGACCAGCUAGACUGGCAGGUGGAAAGGGGUUGAUCAUUUAGGCAUAAUUUCCAGGGACCCCUGGGCAAAUGCAAGUUACGGGUUUGGGGCUAUCGGCUUUUUUGGGGGAGGGGUGAGCAAGUGAAAGAAAAGGGAAAUACGGAGGGAAUGUGUCUCCAGCACCCUUUCUCUACUGUGCUGCAAAAGGCAUCUUCAUUCCUGACUUUGAACAAACAAGGUCUAUAAAUGGUUUGAAGAGGGGACAGUGAUAUGGUUUGGCUCUGUGUCCCCACCUGAAUCUCAUCUUGUAGCUCCCAUCAUUCCCGUGUUGUGGGAGAGACUCGGUGGGAGAUGAUUGAAUCACUGGGGACGGUCUUUCCUGUACUGUUCUCAUAAUACUGAAUGGGUCUCACGAGAUCUGAUGAUUUUAAAAAACGGGAGUUUCCCUGCACAAACUCUCUUUUUGCCUGCCGCCAUCCAUGAAAGACGUGACUUCCUCCUCCUUGCCUUCUGCCAGGAUUGUGAGGCCUCCCCAGCCACGUGGAACUGCAAGUCCGUUAAACGUCUUUUUCUUCCCAGUCUCGGGUAUGUUUUUAUCAGCAGCAUGAAAACAGACUAAUUCAGACAGUAAGCAAUUUCCAGAGGAGACAUCAUUCAGAAGUUCAUGGGACCACUGAUUAGAUCUAAUUCAAUAUUUACUUAUAAAGGCUUUGCUCAGGGAAGGAAAUCUGAAGCUUCAUGCUCUGGAAGUGGAUUUGAGGGAGGCCCCAGUGGACCUGAAUAAUGGGUGUAUACCACCACCUCUUUGCUAUACACUACAGUGUACAGGUUUCGGCCCUCUCUGUUCCUCUGAUGGGCUAGCUCCUCAGCAGUGUUGCUGUCUGUGCUCAUCUGGGCACACACAUUUAGUCCAACUCUGCCUUGACUAUUUUUUUUUUUUUUGAGAUGGAGUCUAGCUCUGUCACCCAGACUGGAAUGCAAUGGCACGAUCUUGGCUCACUGCAAACUUUGCCUCCCAGGUUCAAGCAAUCCUCCUGCCUUAGCCUCCUGAGUAGCUGGGAUUACAGGCGCCCACCACCAUGCCUGGCUAAUUUUUGUAUUUUUAGUAGAGAUGGGGUUUUGUCACGUUGUCCAGGCUGGUCUUGAACUCCUCACCUCGGGUGAUCUCCCCACCUUGGCCUCCCAAAGUGCUGGGAUUACAGCUGUGAACCACUGUGCCCGGCCUGCCUUGACUAUUUCAAGAGGGCAGCUUCCUAAAGGGUGUCCAAAUAGUGCUAUUCUAACAAUGGCCAGGGGAGGAGGUACUGAGUAACUGUGACCCCAGACACACAAGAUGGCAACAGAAUGGCAGAUUCUAUUGCCAUUGCCCUCUGUCAAUCUGGAAAUACUUUGGGAGGUAGGAAGAAGUAGGAAGGAAAAACAGUCUGGAAAUAUUUGGGGAGAUGAAAACGAGUGAAGAGGUAGAGAUACUUGACAAGAAACAGGGCCCCAAAUCUCAGAGUCACAAAAAAGUGAGUACCAUCAAGGCAGAGAGGACAUUUUAGGAUUUUAGCUGAGUGAUUUCACUCUCUUGAGUCUCUUAACCCAUUUUGUCCAAAGGGCCAAUAUUUUGAAGAUUUUUACUCCAUUUUGAUAAAAAUGAAGGAAUUACAUUUUCCUAAAGCCCAAGUUUCUCUAAUGAGUAAGUGAGGCAUUUUGGAAGCUGACUUGUCUGUGGUCACUUAGUUUCCUCUGGUUCAGGUCCUCAUGAUCUAAUGAGAAUAAUCUAUGCUAUUUCUGGUAUCUUAGAAAGUUGAUGUCUCCCAAAGUGCCCAGAAGAUGUCCAAGAAAUGAUUAGGAAAUCACUAGAAUGUCAGGAAGACAUGAUCUGAAAAUUUCCCUUAUUUAUAGAGUGAGAAAAAAAAGAAUUACUGAAAAUCUCCUUCCCAUCAUCCAGGACAAAGCCAGGUAGAAAGCUGUAUAAAACCUAAAAGAGCAAGUCAGGCUCUGGGCUGGGAGCUGCACGGAAACUCAAAGUUGGGGUUACCCACGUGUUUGGAGGAAAGAGUGCUGAGCUGAGGGGGAGAAGUCCUGAAUUCUGGAUUGGCUCUCAUUUAGUCAUAGCAUUGUGUCCAAGUCACCUCCCUGUGUUUUAGUUUUCUUUUUCCACAGUAGGGUUCAGGCCAUUUCUCUUCUCAUUCUCACACGAGGAUAGAAUGAAAUGAUAGAUGUGUAAGUGCCUAGUGGGGAAUAAAGUAAUAUAUGUAUCUGUAUAUAUAUAAAUAGCAUGGGGUUUUCUUUUCUUCUAAAAGUGAAACUCGGCUUCAUAAAUUAUUUAAGCCUCUCUGCUGGAUCCACCCUUUGGAGAAAAAGACAGAAGGGAAAAUACUCCCAAAGCCCAAAACGCUUCUGAUGCUUAUAACUGGGCUCUACAAUUUGGUUGUCUGAAAGCUGAGACUAAGCUUGAGAGAGAAGCACGUUUAGGAGCUCCACAGCAUAGGAAUUCUGCAGGAUCCCUAUUCGUUCUUUUCCCGGUUGUAAAGAGCUCUUUUUUUUUCCCAAAGAGCACAAGAGCAAAAAACUUAAGUGCGGAAGUCACAAAAGCAGGGAAAACUACAGCAUGGCCCUGAGAAGAGGAACUAGGUCAAGCUGCUCUCCCUCAGAGAGAGGUAGUGCCUGUUCCCAGGACAGCUCAGGCUUCAUGACACACAGAGACAGAAGCAGGCUGGGAGCAUGGAUGGUUUCGGGAGUAUAUGGGGGACAACGAGGCAUAAGCCGUGAGCAAUUUAAGAGAAAUCGCUUCGUCUCUCAAGCUUUUAUUCUAUGUUCGACGUCUCUCCCCCAGUGGAUCUGGUCUAAGUGACUGGGUGUCAGUGCUUAGGGCCAGGGGCCCAACCCCACAAAUAAAUAUUGCCUGACGCUGCCUGAUAAACAUGAGAAAAGAAAAGGUUGGCACAUGUCCCAACACUGUUUCCUCUUAUGUUAUCUUACACCAAAGUGCAGAGAGCACAUGAAAUUGAGAGAGCCAUCAAAACCAGAGUCUGGUUCAGGAGGUGCUCCUUCCCCUAACUCUAGGCACCAGAGAGGUUAAUUCAGAAACUUGAGUCAGGGUUGAAAAGGGUGUGAAAAAUGCCAUGCUGAUUCAUGCAAAUGGUCCCUUUUAGCUCUGGUCUCUUAGGAUGGAACCACAGGAGAGCAGGGGCAGCCCCCUGUUGUCCCUGGCCAGCUUUGGAUAAACGGGAACAGAUUGGUCAUCAUCCGAGAUUUUACCUGGAGUCUUCAUGUACCGCUUCUUCUGGCCUGUCAAAAAGCAAGUGCAGGUUUGGAUGGCAGGGAACAA